AGUGAACGCUGGCGGCGUGCCUAAUACAUGCAAGUCGAACGGAGAUUCAGUAGCUUGCUAUUUAAUCUUAGUGGCGCACGGGUGAGUAAUAUAUAGCUAACUUGCCCAUUACUAAGGGACAACAGUUGGAAACGACUGCUAAUACCUUAUACUCCGUAUCUAUAUAAGUAGAUACGGGAAAGUUUUUCGGUAAUGGAUAGGGCUAUAUCGUAUCAGCUAGUUGGUAAGGUAAUGGCUUACCAAGGCUAUGACGCGUAACUGGUCUGAGAGGAUGAUCAGUCACACUGGAACUGAGACACGGUCCAGACUCCUACGGGAGGCAGCAGUAGGGAAUAUUGCUCAAUGGGGGAAACCCUGAAGCAGCAACGCCGCGUGGAGGAUGACACUUUUCGGAGCGUAAACUCCUUUUCUUGGGAAAGAAUUAUGACGGUACCCAAGGAAAAAGCACCGGCUAACUCCGUG
rnacentral:rRNA from 1 species